GCUUGACUGUAGCUUGUAAUUGGGUUCGGGCUUUUUUUGCGCAGCCUAGGUGGGAGGCAACGAUGAUUUUUUUCCGGAAAAAUUUGAGCCGUUAGUGAGAGACCACUCUGAAAAGGCUAGAAUCCUAAUAAUGAUCCUUGAAUCAGGACAUUUGACAGUUGCAGGUGGGCAGUUUUACUGGGGCGGUAUUCUCCUAAAAAGUAACGGAGGGGUGCAAAGGUUCCCUCAAGCUGGACGGAAAUCAGCUUAAGAGUGUAAAGGCAAAAGGGAGCUUGACUGCAAGACCUACAAGUCGAGCAGGGGCGAAAGCCGGCCUUAGUGAUCCGACGGUACCACGUGGAAGGGCCGUCGU
rnacentral:rRNA from 1 species